AAAUUAGCUCUUGGAUGAAUGAAGGCUAUAGAUUUACAUUAGAAAUCUUAGAAAUUAAAGGUAGAGGUGUGGCCGCCCUCUCACAAGCCACCACUAAAUUGUAUAAAAAUGGCUUGGUUUUCCAAGCCCUCUUUCUCUCUUCUUUGGUGAAGGGCAAAGCGAUGCUAAAUUUUAGCCUUAAAUCCUAAUUUUAAUCUCAUUUUUGAUUU
rnacentral:lncRNA from 1 species